UGUAAUGCUAUCUUGAUGGGUUGCUGUGAAAAUGUGAAGAUGUCUGUCAGGCAGGAAAAAUUAUGUAAAAAUGAUGUGGGUAUAGAAAAUGGGAUCGACAAAAUGUAAUAAACUCCUCCUGGGCUGAAGAGCAGAGCUGCAUAUGUAAUGAAGUACUUUAGGAUUACGUCACCUUUUAUAUAACAUCUGGCAGUGACUUUUAUUUCAGAGCUAAUUUGAAGAAGCCAGGCGCUUUUCUCUUCCCCUCCCCAAGACUGCCUUUAUCUGAAAGAAGAAAGAAGGAACUGUUACAUUUUGCAUGCAAAGAAAGCCAGAGUGGCUAGAUUACUCCCUUAGGGUAAUGGAGAAAGGAAAAAGAAAUUGAAAAAGGUCAGGUGAACAAAGCAGAAGGAAUGAAGAGGUUUGUGUGAUUCUUAGUGAAAUUGGACCAGUCUAAGCAACCAGACAGUGCUGCUGAUGGAGGAUGCUGUCAAUCCAGAGUCUGACAACCUCUCGCUCCUAUAUUUGGAAACUUCUGCAGUUUCAAUCAAAGAAAUGGUGCUGGCAUUCAAAAGGAAGAUGGAGAAUUCACUGGAGAACUACAAUGGCUUCACAACGAAUGUAAAAGACAAGUCUCAGGAAAAGAUGUAAUUCUAUGGAAGAAAAAAGAUAGAAACUAACAUUACCCAAAUGAAAACAGAUGAUGAUAAAGAUCAUUUCUUGAACAAUAUCUUCACAUCAUGGCUGGGCAAAGUGGAAAGAGACGGAAAACUGGUAAUUAUUGCCAACAGACUUAAAAUACAUAUUUAGGCAGUAAACUUUUAAUCAUUUUAUUUCUUUAUUUUUAAUUUUGCAAGUAUCUCAUGAAUACAUUUUUUAAAAAUAACAAUUGAAAUGAUGCAGUCAAAGAAAAAGUUCCUCCUUUGGCCCCACCAAAUCCCACUUUCCUGUCCAAAGAGUUAAUCAAAAAACAUACUGGAAAUAACAAAUCUGGAAGGUCAUAAUUUUCUCCAUAAGAAAAAUAUAUGCUAGCUAUGCCUUGCUACUCUUAUUAUGCUCACUUUUGAUUAUCAGGCAACUUUGAAUAUAAAAUUUCUAGUAUUGCUAUUUCUCUUUUGAAUUUUGUGAUGCUAAAAUGUUCUUGAAAUUAAAAUGUUCCACCCCUUCCCACUCUUCAAAUCCCCAUCUGUUCUCUUGUGAGCACAAGACCCACACAGCUGGUCUCAGACAUGGUCACAUCCACAUUGAUACAAGAAUAUGUUCGAGUAAGCAAUCUGUGGUUUGGUGAUUUAAUUAAUUCUACAAGACACCUAAAAAGUGCCAGGUGGAAGGACACAGAUAAAUAAGACAGGAUCCUGGCCUUUAAGGAAAUCUUGGCAUAACACUAAGGAAAACUCAAUAUUUUCAUCCAGCAGAAGCUGGAACUGAAGUGACUAGGCUUUGGAGUCAUGCAGAUCUGGGUUUGAAUCCAGCCCUGCCAUCUAUCAUUUCCAUGAUCUUCAGAAGAUGAUGAUAAUGACACUUCAUAAGAUUUUGUCAUGCGUUGCCUUUUCACACUGCUCCAUGCCACCUCACACUUUAUGGCAACAGAUUCUAUCCCUGUGGCCACAGAAGUGGGCCCAAGAUAGGUCAGUUAGUGUUUAUUACCUCUGGUCACAGUGAUUGGUUCAGAGAGGGACACAGAAUCUAAUCUGGGCCAAUCAGAUUCCUUCUCUGAGAUUUUAUCUUUUUCUAUCUGGAGCUAGAAGGGAAGAACGUUUUUUCUUUUGGAUGAUGAGGCUUUAAGCAAGUAAUUUCAAGGGUGCCUGCAGCCAUUGUUUCAGUGUCAUGGGAAUAGAGAGUAAAGCAGUUGAAAAAUAUUUUAUUAUGCAUUAUUUGAAAUAAUAAAAUCAACAUAUAUGUACAUGUCUAUGUAUAAACACAAUAACCCCAUUCCUUGACCAUUCUUUAGAGGUGAUUACUAUCCUGAAUUUUGUGUUUAUCAUUUCUUAUCACAAGUAUAGAUAUACCUCAACAAUUUAUUUUUGAGCAGUUUUAUUAACUUUAUAAAUAAUAUACUCUAUGUUGUCUUCUUCAUUCCACUACAUGGACAAAAAAAUUAAGAAUUCUGACUAUCUCAAGUUGUUGGUGAAGUCUGAAGUAAUGGGAACUCAUAUCUCCUAUAGAAAUGUAAAUUAAGAGAACAACUCUGGAUAAAUAAUCUGGCAUUAUCUUGCCAAGCUGAAUAUGAAUGUAGCCUAAGAUUUUGCAAUUCCAUGUCUAGGUAUAUGUGCUGGAAAAACAUUUGCUCACGUGCUGUGCAGACGUUUACAAUGACUUGCAGAGUCUCUCUUGAUGAGGAAGGAAAAAAAAAGAAAGUAAGCCAAGUGUUAUUGAUGGGAGGAUAGGUGACUACGUUGUGCAUUCACACGGCAGAGUAGUAUGCAGGAGUGGAUAUGGAGGAGCCACAGGUACAUUCAACAGUGGGAACAGAUUUUAGAGGCAAUAUUGAGGAAGAAUAAACUAUUUUCAGGAACAGUUGGACUCUGUGGAGACUUUUGUAUGCUGUCCUCUUGGACUUUAGAUCAAUAACUGGCCCUGACAGCAGCCUACUUUUAGGCCACUGUACAAGCAGGGAGCAGAAGCUGAGCUGGGCAGUAGUAGUCACUGUUCCAGACCCACCAUAUUAGUCACCCUAGGGAAGGGAGAGCAGUGCAGAGUAAAAAUAUUCAUCUUGGUGAUGAGGUUGAGAGCUACACUUUGCCUGAACAUCUGGACUCCUGAACUGAGUUGGCUCAGAGGGCUAGGGAGUAGACAGUGAGGAAUUUUUCUUUUGCUUCAGGACUGGAAACCUAUGACCAGCUCUUUGCAGUUCUUAUCUGUGUAGUGUAUAUGGUCUGACCCAAAAGACUUUUAAUGACUGAUUUACUGUCAUUGAUACCAUCUUUGAGAUGAGUUAAAGUAGUUUCUGAGAGCUUCUGGUAGGAGCCCUCCCUGCUGGGUCCAUUUGGGGGUCUAUGUGGUAGCAAGCUGGUCAUUUUGGGCUUCUCAUUGGAAAGUGGUUUAAACAACCUCUCCUUUUGUGAUGUUAGGUAAAGCACAAAGGCAAGUUUAGAAUUUAUUUUCAACAUUUAACAUUUCAUCAAGUAUCACAUUGUGGAAGGGGAUGAAGAGAAGUUGGUUAAGGAGUACAAAAAUACAGUUAAAUGGAAAGAAUAAGUUCUAGUAUUUGAGAAGAAUUGUCAUGCUCUCAGCACAAAGCAAAAAUGCUUGUGAUGAUGGAUAUCCCAGUUACACUGACUUGAUCAUUAUACUUGUAUCAAAAUGUGACAUGUACCCCCAAAUAUGUACAACUAUUGUAUAUCAAUAAAAAAAGAAAAAAACACAGUUAGUUGAUCAAGACAAAACAGCUAGAGAUUAAAAGAAAUUGGAGAAUGAUGGGUUAUCUGCAUGUUUGAUAGGGAGAAAAAUUGGGGAGACCUAUAAAAUAUAAUUAAAUGGGAAAUGUAAAAAAAAUCAUAUUGUUUUACAUUUUAACAUCUCUAAAAAUAAAGAUAUAUCUUACAAUU